AGGGGCAGCGGGAUUGAAGCUUGCUUCAAUUGCCGGCGACCAGCGCACGGGUGAGUAACGCGUAUCCAACCUUCCGUACACUCAGGGAUAGCCUUUCGAAAGAAAGAUUAAUACCUGAUGGUAUGAUGAGAUUGCAUGAUAGCAUCAUUAAAGAUUUAUCGGUGUACGAUGGGGAUGCGUUCCAUUAGGCAGUAGGCGGGGUAACGGCCCACCUAGCCAACGAUGGAUAGGGGUUCUGAGAGGAAGGUCCCCCACAUUGGAACUGAGACACGGUCCAAACUCCUACGGGAGGCAGCAGUGAGGAAUAUUGGUCAAUGGACGAGAGUCUGAACCAGCCAAGUAGCGUGAAGGAUGAAGGUCCUACGGAUUGUAAACUUCUUUUAUAAGGGAAUAAACCCUCCCACGUGUGGGAGCUUGUAUGUACCUUAUGAAUAAGCAUCGGCUAACUCCGUGCCAGCAGCCGCGGUAAUACGGAGGAUGCGAGCGUUAUCCGGAUUUAUUGGGUUUAAAGGGAGCGCAGACGGGUCGUUAAGUCAGCUAUGAAAGUUUGGGGCUCAACCUUAAAAUUGCAGUUGAUACUGGCGUCCUUGAGUGCGGUUGAGGUGUGCGGAAUUCGUGGUGUAGCGGUGAAAUGCUUAGAUAUCACGAAGAACUCCGAUUGCGAAGGCAGCACACUAAUCCGUAACUGACGUUCAUGCUCGAAAGUGUGGGUAUCAAACAGGAUUAGAUACCCUGGUAGUCCACACGGUAAACGAUGGAUACUCGCUGUUGGCGAUAUACUGUCAGCGGCUUAGCGAAAGCGUUAAGUAUCCCACCUGGGGAGUACGCCGGCAACGGUGCAACUCA
rnacentral:rRNA from 1 species